rnacentral:rRNA from 1 species
CAGCAGCCGCGGGAACACGGAGGGGGCUAGCGUUGUUCGGAAUUACUGGGCGUAAAGCGCACGUAGGCGGCUUGGUAAGUUAGAGGUGAAAGCCCGGAGCUCAACUCCGGAAUUGCCUUUAAGACUGCCGAGCUAGCAGGUGAGAGAGGUAAGUGGAAUUCCGAGUGUAGAGGUGAAAUUCGUAGAUAUUCGCAAGAACACCAGUGGCGAAGGCGGCUCACUGGCCCGAUACUGACGCUGAGGUGCGAAAGCGUGGGGAGCAAACAGGAUUAGAUACCCCAGUAGUCCCUGUCUCUUAUAC